UUUUGGAUUCUCUAAACUUCUUAAGAAAAGACGUGUCACACCCAGAGGGCGGAGCACCGCCGGACAAGCGCCCUGUGUCUGGGUCUGUUUCACCGCCAGGUCUGCGGCCGCCUGGGCGGCUCCAGCCACGGGACUCGAGUCAAUCACACAAUGGCAGAAACUCGUGUCAAGAGCCUGCAGCCCCCACACUGAUGGAUGCCUCCAAUCUCAGCAGCAGAAUGUGUACGGAAUCGAUGCCGAUGAAAACAGUUUCAGUAAAAUUACAAAAGAAUGAAAAACAUGGACAUUUGUUUAACUGUACUACAGGGGAAAAACAAAAAUCUGAUCAAAGAAUUAAGUUGGAUGAAUAGAGUUCAAGCUGGAGAACACCUUCUUAAAACAUUUUCAGGGUUAGUAUGUUUUGGUUUAAAAUGUUUGCAUUCAAAACAUCCUUCGGGUCAAAAUAUCCGUAGUGGUUAAAAUAUCCUGUGUCCCUCUGAUCUGUUUCCUAUAACUCCCCACCUUCCAGCCACACUGGGCUCUUUCUGUCCCUGGAGCACAGCGAGUUUCCCCUCACUUGGGAGCUUUCUCAAAGCCUGUUCUCUCUGCCUUGAGUGCUCUUUUCCUUCUGACCCCUCCCUCCUCCUUCUCAUGGCUGAUAUUUAACUAUCACCUCUGAAAGACGCCUUCCUGCAUUGCUCUCUCUAGGGUAGUUUUCCUUCCUUCCCAUUUCCUCUUAUUCCCUUUUUUUUUUUUUUU
rnacentral:lncRNA from 10 species